GACGAACGCUGGCGGCGUGCCUAAUACAUGCAAGUAGAACGCUGAAGGAGGAGCUUGCUUCUCCGGAUGAGUUGCGAACGGGUGAGUAACGCGUAGGUAACCUGCCUGGUAGCGGGGGAUAACUAUUGGAAACGAUAGCUAAUACCGCAUAACAGUAGAUGUUGCAUGACAUUUGCUUAAAAGGUGCAAUUGCAUCACUACCAGAUGGACCUGCGUUGUAUUAGCUAGUUGGUGAGGUAACGGCUCACCAAGGCGACGAUACAUAGCCGACCUGAGAGGGUGAUCGGCCACACUGGGACUGAGACACGGCCCAGACUCCUACGGGAGGCAGCAGGAGGGAAUCUUCGGCAAUGGACGGAAGUCUGACCGAGCAACGCCGCGGGAGUGAAGAAGGUUGUCGGAUCGUAAAGCUCUGUUGUAAGAGAAGAACGAGUGUGAGAGUGGAAAGUUCACACUGUGACGGUAGCUUACCAGAAAGGGACGGCUAACUACGUG
rnacentral:rRNA from 1 species